rnacentral:tRNA from 1 species
GCCCUGAUGGUCUAGCGGUAUGAUUCUCCCUUAGGGUUGUGAACCCACAUCUGGGAGAGGUCCCAGGUUCGAUCCCUGGUUAGGGCC